rnacentral:rRNA from 1 species
AGCGAACGCUGGCGGCAGGCUUAACACAUGCAAGUCGAGCGGGCCCUUCGGGGUCAGCGGCGGACGGGUGAGUAAGGCGUGGGAACGUGCCCUCUGGUCUGGAAUAACCCUGGGAAACUAGGGCUAAUACCGGAUACGCCCUUUUGGGGAAAGGUUUACUGCCGGACGAUCGGCCCGCGUCGGAUUAGCUAGUUGGUGGGGUAACGGCCUACCAAGGCGACGAUCAGUAGCUGGUCUGAGAGGAUGAUCAGCCACACUGGGACUGAGACACGGCCCAGACUCCUACGGGAGGUAGCAGUGGGGAAUAUUGGACAAUGGGCGCAAGCCUGAUCCAGCCAUGCCGCGUGAGUGAUGAAGGCCUUAGGGUUGUAAAGCUCUUUUAUCCGGGACGAUAAUGACGGUACCGGAGGAAUAAGCCCCGGCUAACUUCGUG